rnacentral:rRNA from 1 species
UGGAUGAUGUGGAUUAAUUCGAUGACAACGCGAAAACCUUACCUACCCUUGACAUGUCCGGAAUCCCGAAGAGAUUUGGGAGUGCUCGCAAGAGAACCGGAACACAGGUGCUGCAUGGCUGUCGUCAGCUCGUGUCGUGAGAUGUUGGGUUAAGUCCCGCAACGAGCGCAACCCUUGUCAUUAGUUGCCAUCAUUUGGUUGGGCACUCUAAUGAGACUGCCGGUGACAAACCGGAGGAAGGUGGGGAUGACGUCAAGUCCUCAUGGCCCUUAUGGGUAGGGCUUCACACGUCAUACAAUGGUCGGUACAGAGGGUUGCCAACCCGCGAGGGGGAGCUAAUCCCACAAAGCCGAUCGUAGUCCGGAUCGCAGUCUGCAACUCGACUGCGUGAAGUCGGAAUCGCUAGUAAUCGUGGAUCAGCAUGUCACGGUGAAUACGUUCCCGGGUCUU